AAAGUCGUAACAAGGUUUCCGUAGGUGAACCUGCGGAAGGAUCAUCACUGAUUCUCAGGGGAUAAGGAUGGCAUGGAUGUGUGAGGGGUGGUGGUGGUGGUCUCCACCGCUACUCACUCACCACACACCACGCCGCCGCCCCAACCAAUCUUGUGUGCACCGUUUCUCACCGAUUGAGAACACAAUGUGUGACAUGUGUGUGUGUGUGUUGGCGAGAGAGCCCUAUAUACAAACUCUCCCGCCAACCGCAUGCACCCUGUCGCGCGUGUUCUCUCUCUACAAUCAAUCUUUUAAAAUCAUGUCUAACGUUACCAAAAUUUCAACACAUACAACUUUUAACAAUGGAUCUCUUGGCUCUC
rnacentral:misc_RNA from 1 species